rnacentral:rRNA from 1 species
CCAGCAAUGCCGCGUGUGUGAAGAAGGCCUUCGGGUUGUAAAGCACUUUUGUCCGGAAAGAAAUGGCUCUGGUUAAUACCUGGGGUCGAUGACGGUACCGGAAGAAUAAGGACCGGCUAACUACGUGCCAGCAGCCGCGGUAAUACGUAGGGUCCAAGCGUUAAUCGGAAUUACUGGGCGUAAAGCGUGCGCAGGCGGUUGUGCAAGACCGAUGUGAAAUCCCCGAGCUUAACUUGGGAAUUGCAUUGGUGACUGCACGGCUAGAGUGUGUCAGAGGGGGGUAGAAUUCCACGUGUAGCAGUGAAAUGCGUAGAGAUGUGGAGGAAUACCGAUGGCGAAGGCAGCCCCCUGGGAUAACACUGACGCUCAUGCACGAAAGCGUGGGGAGCAAACAGGAUUAGAUACCCUGGUAGUCCACGCCCUAAACGAUGUCAACUAGUUGUUGGGGAUUCAUUUCCUUAGUAACGUAGCUAACGCGUGAAGUUGACCGCCUGGGGAGUACGGUCGCAAGAUUAAAACUCAAAGGAAUUGACGGGGACCCGCACAAGCGGUGGAUGAUGUGGAUUAAUUCGAUGCAACGCGAAAAACCUUACCUACCCUUGACAUGCCACUAACGAAGCAGAGAUG